GACGAACGCUGGCGGCGUGCUUAACACAUGCCAGUCGAACGGAAAGGCCCCUUUGUGGGUACUCGCUUGGCUGACGGGCGGGUAACACAUGAGUAACCUACCCUUGCCUUCGGGUUGACUUCCGGCAACUGACUCUAAUACCGGCUAGGAAUGCUUUCUUCAUGGAGGGGGUGGGAAGGCUUCGGUGGUUUUGGAUGGACUCGCCGCCUAUCUACUUGGUUGUGGGGUGGGUGCUUACCAAGGCUUUCUCUGGCAGGCGGCCUGGGGGGGCGACCGGCCACAAUUGGGCUGGGGUACGGGCCAGACUCCUACGGGGGGCAACAGUGGGGGAUAUUGCAAAAAGGGCGGGAGGCUGAUGCAGCAACGCCGCGUGCGGGAUGAAGGCCUUCGGGGUGUAAACCGCUUUCAGCAGGGGCGAAGCUUGUGGUGACGGUACCUGGAGAAGAAGCACCGGCUAACUACGUG
rnacentral:rRNA from 1 species